GACGAACGCUGGCGGCGUGCUUAACACAUGCAAGUCGAACGGAAAGGCCCUGCUCUUGUGGGGUGCUCGAGUGGCGAACGGGUGAGUAACACGCGAGUAACCUGCCCUUGACUUUGGGAUAACUUCAGGAAACUGGGGCUAAUACCGGAUAGGAGCUCCUGCUGCAUGGUGGGGGUUGGAAAGUUUCGGCGGUUGGGGAUGGACUCGCGGCUUAUCAGCUUGUUGGUGAGGUAGUUGCUUACCAAGGCUUUGACGGGUAGCCGGCCUGAGAGGGUGACCAGCGACAUUGGGACUGAGAUACGGACCAGACUCCUACGGGAGGCAGCAGUCGAGAAUAUUGCGCAAUAGGCGGAAGCCUGAUGCAGCAACGCCGCGUGCGGGAUGACGGCCUUCGGGUUGUGAACCGCUUUCGCCUGUGACGAAGCGUGAGUGACGGUAAUGGGUAAAGAAGCACCGGCUAACUACGUG
rnacentral:rRNA from 1 species